rnacentral:rRNA from 1 species
CCUACGGGAGGCUGCAGUGGGGAAUAUUGCACAAUGGGGGAAACUCUGAUGCAGCGACGCCGCGUGAGCGAUGACGUGUUUCGGUAUGUAAAGCUCUAUCAGCAGGGAAGAAAAUGACGGUACCUGACUACGAAGCCCCGGCUAACUACGUGCCAGCAGCCGCGGUAAUACGUAGGGGGCAAGCGUUAUCCGGAUGUACUGGGUGUAAAGGGAGCGUAGACGGUCCUGCAAGCCAGAUGUGAAAGCCCGGGGCUCAACCCCGGGACUGCAUUUGGAACUGUAAGGCUAGAGUGUCGGAGUGGCAGGCGGAAUGCAUGGUGUAGCGGUGAAAUGCGUAGAGAUUA